UGCCAAGAACCACAACUCUUCUGUCCUGG
rnacentral:piRNA from 1 species